rnacentral:rRNA from 1 species
AUUGAACGCUGGCGGCAGGCCUAACACAUGCAAGUCGAACGAGUGGCGGACGGGGGAGUAAUGUCUGGGAAACUGCCUGAUGGAGGGGGAUAACUACUGGAAACGGUAGCUAAUACCGCAUACCAUCGGAUGUGCCCAGAUGCGAUUAGCUAUUAGGUGGGGUAAAGGCUCACCUAGGCGACGAUCCCUAGCUGGUCGGAGAGGAUGACCAGCCACACUGGAACUGAGACACGGUCCAGACUCCUACGGUAGGCAGCAGUGGGGAAUAUUGCCCAAUGGGCGCAAUCCUGAUGCAGCCAUGCCGCGUGUAUGAAGAAGGCCUUCGGGUUGUAAAGUACUUUCAGCUGGGAGGCGUUACCCGCAGAAGAAGCACCGGCUAACUCCGUGCCAGCAGCCGCGGUAAUUC